rnacentral:rRNA from 1 species
UCUGGCCAUACCACCCUGAACGUGCCUGAUCUCAGAAGCUAAACAGUGUUGGGCCUGGUUAGUUCUUGGAUGGGAGACUGCCUGGGAAUGCCGAGUGAGUUGGUU